CAUACCUUAAUCAGAUCGGUAACUUACUGAUGGAUAACAUUCUUUACACUCUGUAGCUUUACUACAGUGAUGUAAGUUUAUUGUAAGUUUGUAGGCUGAACAUACAACGUUGAAACAACGUUGCCAUAACAAAGGUGAUUUACUUUUCAAUCAAAUCCAACGCUAAUUCAACCAUAACAGCAACGUUGAUUUAACGCUGAAAUGCCAUCUGGGAUCUGGUCCAUAUCAACAUUCUGAAUGUUGGACAGCUGCCCCAGGACGGACUGCUUGUGCUCCUCCUCUUCAUUAUCCUCGGCGAUCAUCUUAGCCAGCUCAGUGGGAAGCUCCACAUCUUUACCUGCUGCCUCGAUCUGAGUGUCAUCCAGCUCACUCUAGGUGGACAAAGGACAGGCUGAGCUGAUCAGUUUACAGAGAGUCAUAUAUAGAAUAAAAAGAAAACAACACAAGUACAAGUUCUACAGUAUUGAGUUACUUACAUGGAAUCUAUAAGCACAGAAGUCUAUGAGCUCUGAUUCCUCAUACUCCAGUUAGGAUACAAUCAACUUACAUGCUUGUCACUAGUGCACACACAAUAAAAUUAAGCACAAAUGAAACCAAAUGUCAAUUUAUGUCAAGAUAUUUUAUUUUUAUUUUAUUUAUAUUCCGAUGAUCCUGACUGGGCAGUUUAGUCAAACAAACACCUCCUUUAUGAUAAAAAUGCAGCAAUACAGGCAAAUUUCUUUU